UCGCUCUCUCUCUCUAUUUUAUUUAUUCCUCUCAGCGAUGGCGGCGGAGUUUGAGUCUUCUUCUACCUGCAACGGAAAAUGGUUUUUUACACGGGAACAGAUCGAAAAUAGUCCGUCUCGCCGAGCAGGGCUUGACCCCGACAAGGAGCUCUCGUACCGACAGCAAGCCGCCAACCUUCUGCAGGAUAUGGGACAGAGGCUCAAUGUCUCUCAGCUGACAAUUAACACUGCAAUUGUAUACAUGCACCGAUUUUACAUGAUCCAGUCCUUCACGAGAUUCCACAGGAAUGUUAUUGCGCCUGCAACUCUCUUUUUGGCUGCCAAAGUGGAAGAGCAGCCACGAAAAUUGGAGUAUGUUAUUAAGGUGAUGCAUGCCCUUGUGAACCCUCAGGACCCUUCACCAGAUGUCAGAAGUGAGGCUUACCUGCAACAAGCCCAAGACCUGGUCAUUCUUGAGAGCAUAAUACUACAGACCCUGGCCUUUGAAAUUACUAUUGAUCACCCACACACUCAUGUUGUGAAAUGUACGCAGCUUGUCCGAGCAAGCAAGGACCUUGCACAGACAUCAUAUUUUAUGGCCACAAACAGAGCUUACCCAUGAGUUCCUGCAGAUCCUUGAGAAGACCCCGAGCCGACUGAAGCGAAUACGAAACUAUAAGGCAGGAGCUGCACCAAAGAAAUCCAAGGUCCAGGAGGGAGGAGACCAGACGGAGACAAUGAUGUCUAUGAUUUCUAUGGCAUCUUC